rnacentral:lncRNA from 10 species
GUGUCCAUGAGCUUCCGUAGGGGUCAGCUAUGGACCGGCAACCUGAGGACAGCUGUAAGGACUCCGGGCUGAGCACCUCUCUGAGACUCCCAAGGUGUUUAAUUAUUUUUAACAAACAGAAAUGGAAGCAGACACUUUUCUGCCUCUAAUGAUAUGACCACUCUGGCCCAGCAUGACAAACUUCAUUUCCUCCCAAAUCCCUUUUUGCUGAUCUCUCAGAUCCCCAGUUGGAGGAACCAUCCUUUACAGCUGACUGACUCACCAGUCCCUAAUGCUGGUCAGAUGUCCUGAACAAGGAAAGCCGUGAUUUCUGCGACCAGAGAGAAUCGGUCAGUCACGGUGUCCCUCAGCCAAAAUGAACUCAGCCUAUUGUCUCCGGAGAGCUGGUAAAUCGGCAGCUGAAGAAACAUACAGUUCUGUGUUUCAAAAUGCAAAAGACCACAUUUCCCUGACCUCGGGUGCUCGCUGACACAUUCCCAACCAAUGACUAUAAAUCUGCUCCUGGAUUGUGCUCAUCAGUUCAGAGCUGGAGAGUAAACAACUUCAGAGAAAGAGGCUUUCCAAAACAGUGGGAAUUUCGGCAGAGAUGGAGCUUGGGGAAACUGAGGCACUCAGUCUGACUUCUCUUCCCUGAUGAGGAUGUGGGCUUGCUGAAGCUGAGUUUGGUUCAAGAAAGAGGAGAGUUCAAUGUUGAUAAAAAUUAUCUUGAACAAAAGUCACAGAUUGCUAGAGCAAGUUCUUCUUGAACUGUGACAAUAAGACCAGGCUAAACAAGCUAAAGGACAUAGCAAAACGCAUGGACAAUGUUAAUCGGCCGCAUUAGGGAAUCCAUGGAGAGGCCACCGUGGGUCUCUAGAAGCUACACUGAAAUGUGUUUCAUCUGCUUCCACCCUGGUGAGAGGGGUCCCACUUCCAUAAGUUUCCAUGUCCUUUGUUAAACAGAGAACCUAGAGUUGUCGUACAGGGUGGGGAGAGAUGUGGUUCCUUCCCACUGGACAUUCAUCCAACUGAAACACUACAGUUGGUAUCUAAAGUGAGACAGGCACUACCAGGCGUGGAAGAUUCAUCAAGCCGAAAGAAGAAACACUGAGCUAGCUAUUUCCAAGGUGGAUACAGAGCCAAUUGUAACAAUGGAAUUUAUGCAGUUUCCCUACCUGGGACAAUUCACACACAGUGGUUAAGGAAGCUCAGUAAAGUCCAGGUAGCCCACUGACUGUUCCCUGGCUUCUCCCAGCCACCUAUGACCUGGACAAGACUUGGAACCCAAAGGGAGUUAAAAAACUAAGAACCUCAGGCUGGGCGCAGUGGUCCCAGCACUUUGGGAAGCCAAGGAGGGCUGAUCACUUGAGCUGAAGAGCUGGAGAGCAGCCUGGCCAACAUGGUGAAACCCCGUCUCUAAAAAAAACUACAAAAAUGAACUGGGCAUGUUGGCGCAAUCCUGUAAUCUCAGCUACUCAGGUAGCUUAGGCGGGAGGACCACCUGACCCCAGGAGGCAGAGGUUGUAGUGAGCUAAGACCAUGCCACUGCACUUCAGCCUGGGCAAUAGAGCGAGACCCUGUCUCAAAACAAACAAAACAAAAAGCUAACAAAACAAAACAGCAAAAACAAAACCUUGAACCUUAUCAAGCCUCGAGAGCCAACCACCAUUAUACCAGGAGCAUAGAACUGGCCAGAUUCGGAUAUGGGGAAUUUCUGCAGGGCAAACGGCCCAGGUACAUCAAGAAACAAUGUCAUGGGAAAAGAUGGAGCAGGAAGUGUGGCAGAUUAAAAGAGACGGAACAGUCAGCGGCAACCUUGGUGUUUUGUUUGUUUCCGAAUCUGUACAAACCAACAGUAAAAAUCCAUGAUUGAGAAAGCAGGGAAAUGGGAAAGCAGACAGGGCCUGAAAGGGUGGUGGUGGCUUGGACCACGUCAUUGUGGUGAAGCUGGAGCUAGAUUCCUCCACAUCCCUUUCUCUGUGGAGUUCUGGGUGAAGAGGUGGCCCAAAGAGGCACUGUCGUGGGAUUCGGGAGGCUGCGUGAAGCAUCAGCCGUGACUCUCCAAAGUUCUUAGACUUGAUGCAUGACAGACACACACACAGGUAUCAACGAAGUCCAGCUUGUCCCCACUCUCCUGUCCCCAUCCACUUCUCCCCGACCACCAACUCUGCUGACCAGCAACGGCCCUGAGCCAGCCUCCAGAUGCUUGCCUGGGGUCCACUCUGGCUGGAGCAGUUCUUAUUAAAGGGUUUUUGUUCAUUGCAUUAGCUUCAUCGCAGUAUUGCAUUACACUGGGGGCAAGACAUUCUCUGUGGUAGGUACACACUGAAGCAUUUAUGGGUGAAAUUAUGUUAUUUCUAGGGUUUGCUUAAAAUACUUCAAAACGAAAGAGGCUGGAGCGUGGAGACUAAACAAAACAACAUUGAAAAAUGGUAACGAUUGUUAGAGUUGGAAGAUGGGCUCAUUGUUCUAUUUGCUCUGUUUCUGGUAUGUUCGAAAAUGUUCAUGAUUUCAAAUUACGGAGUCGGGGGAGCUAAGGAAAUGGAACAGAACCUGAAGAUCCCCCACCCCCUCCUCCACUCCAG